rnacentral:rRNA from 1 species
AGUGAACGCUGGCGGCGUGCCUAAUACAUGCAAGUCGAACGGAGUGGCGCACGGGUGAGUAAUGUAUAGCUAAUCUGCCCUCCACUAGAGGACAACAGUUGGAAACGACUGCUAAUACUCUAUAGUGUAGGAUGAGGCUAUAUUGUAUCAGCCAGUUGGUGAGGUAAUGGAUCAUCAAGGCUAUGACGGAUAACUGGUCUGAGAGGAUGGUCAGUCACACUGGAAAUGGAACACGGUCCAGAAUCCAACAGGAGGCAACAGGAGGGGAUAUUACACAAAGGGAGAAACCCUGAAGCAGCAACACCGCGUGGAGGAUGACACAUUUCGGAACGUAAACUCCUUUUGUUAGGGAAGCGGUACCUGACGAAUAAGCACCGGCUAACUCCGUGCCAGCGACCGCGGUAAUUC